ACACCUACAUAACCUUAUACAUGGGCGCAGACAUUUUGGACACCCAAAGUUGUGCGGAGAAGAAAAUGCUACACGGCACAUGAUUGGUCAUUAAGAGAAAAAACUUGUUAUGUAUUUGACAAGUGAAAUAAAGGUGAUAAAAAUCUCAUAUCAAGACUUAGGCUUCUUUGAGAUAUAUAGGAGAUACAGGUAAAAAUUUGAAGGGAGGGGUGCACUUUGAUUAGAGAUUUUCAUUUGGUGCUGAACGCACCUAGUUGUAAACAAAUGGAAUUUGAAAGUAAAAGUGCAACGGCACGGUAUAUUUUUUCUGGCAUGUUUUGUUUUGCAAGAUCUCGAACUUUCACGGCAAGAAAGUCAUUUGCCCAAAAUUGAAUAUAUGAAUCAGUGACAGGGGCUCAACUUUGUAUGGAAGUCUAUGGGAAAACAUUUGGUGGUGUUUGUCCUAUAGAGUAGCUAUGCAUCAUCAAGAAGGAGAAGUUUAAUGAACCCUCCCCUCUUACAAUGAACAACAUAUGGACACUCCCAGGAUGAACACUUUGCAUUCAUUAAGAGUUCCCAGGUAUAGGUCUGAUUGACUGGGGUGUGAAAUAUAACAGCCAGUGGUGUACUUCAGCUGGGACUGUCAGUCCCUAUAUUCAUGAGGUGAGAUAACCGAUGGAUAUGUGUUCUAAAUUUACUAAAUUGACCACUUUUUACAAGUGUUUUCUAUAUCUCUAUAGGAAAAACACCUACAUAACCUUAUACAUGGGUGCAGACAUUUUGGACACCCAAAGUUGUGCGGAGAAGAAAAUGCUACAUGGCACAUGAUUGGUCAUUAAGAGAAAAGACUUGUUAUGUAUUUGACAAGUGAAAUAAAGGUGUUAAAUAUCUCAUAUCAAGACUUAGGCUUCUUUGAGAUAUAAAGGAGAUACAGGUAAAAAUUUGAAGGGAGGGGUGCACUUUGGUUAGAGAUUUUCAUUUGGUGCUGAACGCACCUAGUUGUAAACAAAUGGAAUUUGAAAGUAAAAGUGCAACGGCACGG